rnacentral:lncRNA from 1 species
AUUCAUUAUCAUCAUCACUGGAAAAAGGGCCCAAACUAAUUUCCCUACCUAACGGCAGGUCAGAAGUCUCUUCGCGUAUACAAGAUGCAUUUCCUUCCAGGGUAGGAGGCCAAGUCAAAGGUAACUGUACACAGAGGUCAUUCAUCCAGAUCAAGCCUGGGGCCUUUCCAAGGAGGCAGAGUCCAGUUGAUGUUGGAUGUUCACUGACUGCUGUCAGCAGAUGAGGGGGACACUGAUGAAAUCUUCCACUCGGGUUUUCUAGGCAAAAAUGGCAGCUCAACUAUUUAGAUCAACAAACUGACCUUCCUUUCUGAGGAAAUCUUCUGGAGCCAGACAGCUUGGGGUUGCCAUUUACUAUGUGAUCGUGGGCAAGGAGGCCUCAGUUUCCUCAUGUAUAAAAUGAGUAUAAGAAUAGUGCUUGCCACACAGGAUUCUUAGGAGGUGAAAUGAGUAAGACACGCAAAGAGCUGAGAACAGUGUCUUGCACAAAGCUGGCCCUCAGGAAAUGCUGUUUAAAAGGAAAUACCCAAUACCAAUAACAACCAUUUUUUGAGAAUUUGCUGGUUGUAAGCAUCAUGCUAAGCUUGUUAUGGACGUACUUAAUUUUUUUUUUUUUUUUAACAGGGUCUCACUUUGUUACCCAGGCUGGAGUGCAGUGGCAUGAUAUUGGUUCACUGCAGCCUCAACCUCCCAGGUUCAAGCGAUCCUCCUGCCUUAGCCUCCCAAGUAGCUGGGACGACAGGUGUGUGCCACCACUCCCAGCUAAUUUUUGUAGAGAUAGGCAGGGUCUCACCAUGUUGCUCAGGCCAUUCUCAAACUCCUGAGCUCAAGCUGUUUGCCUGCCUCUGCCUCCCAAAGUGCUAGGAUUACAGGUGUGUACCACUGCACCUAGCCUGACAUUACUUAAUUUUAUCCAUACAACAAAAACUCUGUGGGAUAGCUGUUUUUAAUCCCCAUUUCACAGAUGAGACAAUUGAGGCACAGAGAAAUUUCAGAAUGUGCUUAAGGUAACACAUUAAUAAGUAAAAGAACAGGAAUUCUAACUCGGUUUUGUCUGGCACAAAAUCUCCUCACCACCCCAUGGCACUCUGAUUAAAACACAAUAAAACAAAGCAAAAAGUUAUCUUGUCAUUAGCAUGCUUGAUGUUCCCUGAGAAGGCUAUUAGGUUAUUCGUAGACUGUACACUCUAACAUGGCGGAGUUGUAGCUGUGAUUUUUUUCUAGAACAGUUUAUUUAAAGCACUCUUUCUGUAAUUCUAACCAAUCUAUUGCAAAUUUAUUUUUCCAUGAAAAUCUGAAACUUGGAGCUUUCGUCCAGCCUAUAUGUUUUGUUUUGUUUCAUUUUGGGUUGGUUGUUUAAAGAGCCCGUCUUCCCUUGAGGGAACAUGGGGCAUGACCAAACCAAUCGAUACUCAUUGAUCUAGUUUGAUGCUGUGUGCAGAAGACGCCGAAGACACCUAAUAAAGGCUUUCUGUUCUGGCUGCAAUGGUUGUUGCUGAUGGCAGGCUAAGUCGGAACCUCAGACGUGUCCUGCAGAGUGGUGGGCAG